rnacentral:rRNA from 1 species
AUUGAACGCUGGCGGCAGGCCUAACACAUGCAAGUCGAGCGGAUGAAGGGAGCUUGCUCCUGGAUUCAGCGGCGGACGGGUGAGUAAUGCCUAGGAAUCUGCCUGGUAGUGGGGGAUAACGUCCGGAAACGGGCGCUAAUACCGCAUACGUCCUGAGGGAGAGAGUGGGGGAUCUUCGGACCUCACGCUAUCAGAUGAGCCUAGGUCGGAUUAGCUAGUUGGUGGGGUAAAGGCCUACCAAGGCGACGAUCCGUAACUGGUCUGAGAGGAUGAUCAGUCACACUGGAACUGAGACACGGUCCAGACCCCUACGGGAGGCAGCAGUGGGGAAUAUUGGACAAUGGGCGAAAGCCUGAUCCAGCCAUGCCGCGUGUGUGAAGAAGGUCUUCGGAUUGUAAAGCACUUUAAGUUGGGAGGAAGGGCAGUAAGUUAAUACCUUGCUGUUUUGACGUUACCAACAGAAUAAGCACCGGCUAACUUCGUG